AGCAGCCGCGGUAAUUCCAGCUCCAAUAGCGUAUAUUAAAGUUGUUGCAGUUAAAAAGCUCGUAGUUGAAUUUCGGGGUUAGUAGGCUGGUCGUGCCACUGGUAUGUACUGGUCUUACUGAUUCCUCCUUCCUGAUGAGCUGUAAUGCCAUUAAUUUGGUGUUGCAGGGAAUCUGGACUGUUACUUUGAAAAAUUAGAGUGUUUAAAGCAGGCUAACGCUUGAAUACAUUAGCAUGGAAUAAUGAAAUAGGACGUUCGAUCCUAUUUUGUUGGUUUCUAGGAUUGACGUAAUGAUUAAUAGGGAUAGUUGGGGGCAUUAGUAUUCAAUUGUCAGAGGUGAAAUUCUUGGAUUUAUUGAAGACUAACUACUGCGAAAGCAUUUGCCAAGGAUGUUUUCAUUAAUCAAGAACGAAAGUUAGGGGAUCGAAGACGAUCAGAUACCGUCGUAGUCUUAACCAUAAACUAUGCCGACUAGGGAUCGGAUGAUGUUAAUUUUUAAUGACUCAUUC
rnacentral:rRNA from 1 species